CAGGGCUGGGGGGAGCACUGGGAGUGAGUGGGUAUGGGAACACGGGGCCCACACCUGUAUCCCGGGGCCAGUGCCAGCAGGGCCCAGAGCAGGGUGGCAGGAGCACAGGGUCACAGCCGGCAGGGGCUCUAUGG